rnacentral:rRNA from 1 species
GACGAACGCUGGCGGCGUGCCUAACACAUGCAAGUCGAACGGAGUAAUUUCUUCGGAGAUUACUUAGUGGCGAACGGGUGAGUAACGCGUGAGAAACCUGCCUUUCAGUGGGGGACAACAGUUGGAAACGACUGCUAAUACCGCAUAAUGUUAUUUGGGGGCAUCCCUGAAUAACCAAAGCUUUAUGUGCUGAAAGAUGGUCUCGCGUCUGAUUAGCUAGAUGGCGGGGUAACGGCCCACCAUGGCGACGAUCAGUAGCCGGUCUGAGAGGAUGAACGGCCACAUUGGGACUGAGAUACGGCCCAG